AAGCUUUGAAAACAAAUUCAGCCGACGUCGUAAAAUACUGAGUUUGCAACGAUUAUCAAAUUGAUUUCAUUUUCUUAUAGGGAUUGCAGAGUUGGACAAGGAUUUAACUAUAGGACAGAUGCAAGGAAAGUUUCAGAUGCACGUGUUACCAAAUUGCGGGCACACUGUCCAUGAAGAUGACCCGAAAAUGGUUGCAGUUUUGAUGAUGGAAUUUUUAGUCCGAAAUAAAUUUGCGACAGCCAAAACCACCUACCAAAGGCAAGGCAUCUGAAUUAUAAUUAUUUAUUUUAUUACUUCUUUAGUAUAAUUAUGUAUUUUUCCGCACGCACUUAUUUUCAAUUCAACGUGUAAUAUCAUUAGGUAAUGCUAAAUUUGGUACGCUAAAUCCAGUUUUUUCAUCCAUCCUUUUCUUUGGGUAUUUUCCUCAAGGUCUACUUGCUCUUUCUUCAGCAAUUUAGUAUGAAAUCACUAUAAAUAUGCUUUUUACUAACUAUGAUGGAAUCAAAUAGUCUUUAUCCUUCUUUUACCUAUUUUAUCUUUAUUUCAAAAUUUACAGUUUUCUUUUUCUUUUGAAAGUCAGCAAAAUAUAGCGAAUAAUUAGCAUCUCUAAUAUUCUCUCAGUAUCAGUGCCAAGUAUUCUUUUUGCUCUUUUAGUUAUUUGAAGAUAUUCGUAGCUUCGAAUAAACAUUAAAACGAAAUUAUCUAAAUUCUUUAGAUUUUUUCAACAUCGUUUUGAUAAAUAUUUAUUCUGUUGACUUGUUACAAUGCAACAGUAGACUUCACUGACAGACAUGGUGUGUACAAAUUUGUUA